GCUUCUCUCUGUCUUUCUGUCUCUGUCUUUCUGUCUCUCUGUCUUCCCAUCUCUGCACCAUUUCUCCUGGCUGUGGGUCAAAGUCAGGUAAAAGGAUUCCAAACCCCUUUUCAACCAGAAGCCUCUGUGUAAAAGUUCUCCAAGUCUUCCCUCCAGAUCUUUAGGUUUAUCAUUGACAUUCAAAUGGAGUACAGUGGAUGACAUUAUACUGAUUGCUUCAAGGCUAAGAGUGCUGCAGAGCCUCCUAAAUGAAGUCCAUCACCAUUCAAAAGUAUUUUGGCCUAACUGUCCACAUGGGAAAAACAAAAUGUAUGAAAAAUACCUAUUUUUCAGACUAUGAUGUUUAGGAGGUUUCAGUUGCUUCAGAGUUAUAGUGCCCUACUCAUGUUGAAGACCUGCCAAGGGGGAAAGAACCUGAGGUUUCUACAGAAUCCAGAUGACUUCCCUUCUGGGAGUCAAGACUAUUCACAAGAAAUAGAGAAAGAACAAUAUAAGAAAAUGUAUGAUCAAAUGCUCAUUUGUGUGAUAUGGACUCUAUCCAGUGAAAACUCCCGGAAGAAAGGGGCCGUUCUUUUUAAUUCCCUUCGGAUGAUAUCUAAUAGGAAA
rnacentral:lncRNA from 1 species